GGCUGGUGAGAAGGUAGUGAGUUAGUUGACAGUCAUAGAUCCAAUUUCUUGUUUUACUUCCCGCUUCCCUCACUACCACACUUGACUAGUCUUUA
rnacentral:Y_RNA from 1 species